AGAGUUUGAUCCUGGCUCAGGACGAACGCUGGCGGCGCGCCUAACACAUGCAAGUCGAACGAGCGAGAGGAGGUUUACUUUCUCAAGCGAGUGGCGAACGGGUGAGUAACGCGUGAGGAACCUGCCUCAAAGAGGGGGACAACAGUUGGAAACGACUGCUAAUACCGCAUAAGCCCACGACCCGGCAUCGGGUAGAGGGAAAAGGAGCAAUCCGCUUUGAGAUGGCCUCGCGUCCGAUUAGCUGGUUGGUGAGGUAACGGCCCACCAAGGCGACGAUCGGUAGCCGGACUGAGAGGUUGAACGGCCACAUUGGGACUGAGACACGGCCCAGACUCCUACGGAGGCA
rnacentral:rRNA from 1 species